rnacentral:misc_RNA from 1 species
AACGCAACUGGCACUCUUUGGCUUGCUAAAGAGUAUACCUGUUUGAGAAUCAUAAACAUCAACUUGACUUGAGAUCGAGUCAGAAUUGAGAUUUCAUUUGCGACUUACGCAGAUGAAUCUUGAAUUGUAUAAGAAUUCAGGUUUCGGUGUGACCGAAUAUGCUGAACAUUGUGGGAUACGAAACUGUAGAAAGCUUUUCUACGGAUCGAAUUUCAUCAUCACAAUGAGUUCAGCAUGAAUGGUGCGACCGGAGCAAUUUAAACUGAAUACUUCAAUGAUAUUUAUCACUUGAAAUAUUUAUAUUUCAAUAUUUGAUCUCAAAUCAGGCAAGACUACCCGCUGAACUUAA